AUUGAACGCUGGCGGCAGGGCUAACACAUGCAAGUCGAGCGGAUGAAGGGAGCUUUCUCCUGGAUUCGGCGGCGGACGGGUGAGUAAUGCCUAGGAAUCUGCCUGGUAGUGGGGGAUAACGUCCGGAAACGGGCGCUAAUACCGCAUACGUCCUGAGUGAGAAAGUGGGGGAUCUUCGGACCUGACGCUAUCAGAUGAGCCUAGGUCGGAUUAGCUUGUUGGUUGGGUAAAGGCCUACCACGGCGACGGUCCGUAACUGGUCUGAGGGGAUGAUCAGUCAUACUGGCACUGAGGCUGCUUCUAGACUCCUACAGGAGUCUGCAGUUGGUAAUAUUGACUUAAUGGAUGAAGCGUGAUACAGCCAUGCCGCGUGUGUCCAGCUGGUCAUCGAUUUCUAAAGCACUUUACGCUGGGAGGAAGACCAGUAAGUUUAUACCUUGAUGUUUUGGCCUGACCCGCAGAAUAAGCACCGGCUAACUUCGUG
rnacentral:rRNA from 1 species